rnacentral:misc_RNA from 1 species
UUCCCUGACUUACCUGGGCAACAAAGG